UACGUAGGGUGCAAGCGUUGUCCGGAAUUAUUGGGCGUAAAGAGCUCGUAGGCGGUCUGUCGCGUCUGCUGUGAAAACCUGGGGCUUAACCCCGGGCCUGCAGUGGGUACGGGCGGGCUAGAGUUCGGUAGGGGAGACUGGAAUUCCUGGUGUAGCGGUGAAAUGCGCAGAUAUCAGGAGGAACACCGGUGGCGAAGGCGGCAUCCUGGACCAACACUGACGCUGAGGAGCGAAAGCCAGGGGAGCAAACGGG
rnacentral:rRNA from 1 species